rnacentral:rRNA from 1 species
UACGGGGGGGGGCAAGCGUUGUUCGGAAUUACUGGGCGUAAAGGGCUCGUAGGCGGUUUGUCACGUCGGGAGUGAAAACUCAGGGCUCAACCCUGAGCGUGCUUCCGAUACGGGCAGACUAGAGGUAUGCAGGGGAGAACGGAAUUCCUGGUGUAGCGGUGGAAUGCGCAGAUAUCAGGAGGAACACCGGUGGCGAAGGCGGUUCUCUGGGCCUUACCUGACGCUGAGGAGCGAAAGCGUGGGGAGCAAACAGG